rnacentral:lncRNA from 1 species
CCUGCAUAUGGAAGUUUCUAGGUAGGGGUUGAAUCAGAGCUGCAGUUGCCAGUCUACACCACAGCCACAGCAACGCCAGAUCUGAGCCUUAUCUGCGACCUAAACCACAACUCAUGGCAACACCAGAUCCUUAAUCCGCUAAUUGAGGCCAGAGAUGGAACUCACAUCCUCAUGGAUACUAGUUCUUUUAAAUGCUCAAUAUACAUUUUUAAUGUAAUUGUUAUAGUACUGAUAUGCUUGAUCAACUGCUUUUUAUGGGAAGAUGUUCACAAAUCACCAAACAUUUUAAGUACCGGAGUAUGAGUUGAGAAGACUAUGUUAUGUCUACUCCGAAAGAAGAGGAAGCUAUCAGCACAGCUGAGUAAGAGAGCUGGAGUUCCCACCUCUCUUCCCACCCCAACAGGGGUUAAACUCACAUUCCAAAAGACUGGCUCUUCUGUAGGAUGCCUUAACCUCUGUUUCAGUCUCAGAAGCUCAGUCGUAGAAUUUUUGAGGACCAAAAGCCACCUUUCCCCCAAACACCAAAAGCAUUUUCACAAAAAUAUUCUUCUGCCACAAUGCUCCCCUCUACUCCUUACACCCCCUCCUCCCGGCUCACUCAUUCUCAGUACCCUGCUCAGGAGCCACCUCUUCUGAGAACAUUCGGUGGCACUCACCCCCACCAAGACGGCGAGGCACCCUCCUAAACACUCUCAUAAUACUCCAUCCGUGUCCCCAUCACGGCACUGACACACUGAACUAGGACACUUUCCUUGUCUGUUCCCUCGGAAUACAAGUUCCUUGAGAUCAGGGUCUAUGAAGGGAUCACUGGUAUCUUCCCAGCCACCAUGGCAUGGAAGGCACACCACCGCUAGAGAAUCAAGGAAGAUCUUUCACUUGUCUUCUCCCCUCUUUACUUUUUAUUUAUUUAUUUGUUUGUCUGUCUGUUUGUUUGAGAAACAGGGUAGGAAAUUUCAAAUGCAAUGUAACUAAAAAUGCAGCAUUUCAUAAAUGAAAAAACUAGAUCCUUCACAUGAGGAGGUCAUAGGGAAAGCCUCAAAGGAACAAGCCCAGCUCUACAUCAAGACAUAUUUUUGGCUUAUUACUUAGAAUUCUUCCUAUUAAAAUUUAAUGCAGUCUUCUCUAGCAGUUCAUUUUGUCUGCCAAGUCCUUUAUGACUAUUUUGAUAAGUUAUUUAUUACCUAUGGAUGCCACAGUGAUAAGCAGAUAGCAUAAGCAAGAGCUCAGGGGACAGAGAGAAAGGGCCACGUCCACUCCUGAUCAGUUGAGGCUAAAUUGUUAGAUCCUAUGACAAGCCAUUAUCACCAAGCACUGGCCUGAAUGACAGAGCAUCCUGGUACCCAGUAGGCACUCAAUACAUGUAACAAAUGAGUGAAUGAACGAGUAUCAGGGUGGAAGGGGCCCCAGAAGGCAAACUGUAAUCCUAAGAGUGGUGGGACCACAGCGCAAUUGGGAUGGACACUGAUGGAUAAGAAAGCAAGCGGUUUUAUACAGAGCAACCUGGUACAACCCUCUGUCCCCCUCAGUUUCCUCAUUUCUAAAAUGGGAAUGAUAAUAGACUUAAAUGAGAUAAUGAACAAAGUGCUUUACACGAUGUCUGGCAAACACUGUGUGCUUAAAAUUACUAUGCUAUUAUCUCAGAGGCACAGUUAAGUCACUAAAAUGAAAAGCACACCAAACUGAGCUUUCCGUAGAUGUAGUAGGAAACACUCUGAAUCAAGGAAGUAGAAUAUGCAGGUCUUCUCCAUACAAUCU